AUGGCCGCGUCCACCGCCGCCCGACGCCUCUGCCUCCUCCUCCUCGUCGCCGCGGUGGCCGUGGCCGCCGCGGCGCCGGCGCCGGCGCCGCCCCCGCCGUUCCGAACGGUGUACGCGUUCGGGGACUCGUUCACGGACACGGGCAACACGCACUCCACCACCGGGCCCUACUCGUACGGCUACGUCUCCAACCCGCCCUACGGCGCCACCUUCUUCCACCGCUCCACCAACCGCUACUCCGACGGCCGCCUCGUAGUCGACUUCCUCGCCACCGACGCGCUGGCCCUGCCCUCCUUCCUCCCGCCCUACCUCUCCCUCGCCUCCUCCCCCAACGCCACCGCCACCAAAGGCAGCAAGUACUACGGCGCCAACUUCGCGGUGGCCGGCGCGACGGCCAUCGAGCACGACUUCUUCGCCAAGAACAACCUGACCAUCGACAUCACGCCGCAGUCCAUCAUGACGGAGCUCGGGUGGUUCGACGCGCACCUCAAGGCGCGCCAAGUCAAGCAGGAGGAGAUCGGCGAGGCGCUGUACUGGGUGGGCGAGAUCGGCGCCAACGACUACGCCUACAGCUUCAUGGCCGCCAACUCCAUCCCGCCGGAGCACAUCCGGACCAUGGCCGUCGACAGGGUCACCACCUUCCUCGAGGGGCUGCUGAAGAGGGGGGCCAAGUACGUGGUGGUGCAGGGGCUGCCGCUCACCGGCUGCCUGCCGCUGGCCAUGACGCUGGCGCGGCCCGAGGACCGGGACAACCUCAGCUGCGUCGCCUCCGUCAACAAGCAGAGCAUGGACCACAACCGCCACCUCCAGGCCGGGAUCCACCGGCUCCGGCAGGCGCACCCGGGCGCCGCCAUCGCCUACGCCGACUACUACGCCGCGCACCUCGCCGUCAUGCGCAGCCCCGCCAGGUACGGCUUCGCCGAGCCCUUCAAGACCUGCUGCGGCUCCGGCGGCGGCGCCUACAACUUCGAGAUCUUCUCCACCUGCGGCUCGCCCGAGGUCCCCGCCGCCUGCGCCCACCCCGCCCGCUACGUCAACUGGGACGGCGUCCACAUGACCGAGGCCAUGUACAAGGUCGUCGCCGGCAUGUUCUUCCGCGACGCCUCGGGCGCCUUCAUCCGCCCAUCCUUCGCCUCCCUGCUCGCCGCCGCCAGGAAAGGCCACGGCAUGUGA
rnacentral:rRNA from 1 species